rnacentral:rRNA from 1 species
UACGGAGGGUGCAAGCGUUGUUCGGAAUCACUGGGCGUAAAGGGCGUGUAGGCGGCCCGCUAAGUCUGAUGUGAAAUCCCCUCGCUCAACGAGGGAACUGCGUCGGAAACUGGCGGACUCGAGUACCGGAGAGGAAGGUGGAAUUCCCGGUGUAGCGGUGAAAUGCGUAGAUAUGCGGAGGAACACCGAUGGCGAAGGCAAUCCCCUGGGCCUGCACUGACGCUCAUGCACGAAAGCGUGGGGAGCAAACAGG